ACCUGACAUUAAUAGUGAACAUGAAGACCUGAUCAAUGUUUCAUCGCAUUUCUAAAGGACGUACACACAGCAACCGCCUGCCAAAAUGGCUGUCAGUUAUGAAGUUCAGUGAGCGCCGUUCUGUACAGACAGGAAGUGUACAGACAGGAAGUGAACCUCAGCGAGAUGAAGAUGAAGAUGGAAAUCCUGGAGAAUCGGGCCGAGAUUCUCCUCAGAGACAGAAACGACCUCAACUGGACGCUGGGAGUCAUCCUGACCUUUGACCCGUUUCCAGUCAGAGAUUUCUGUCGUGAAAACAAGUGGAGAGGCUGGACUCUGGUCCAGCACAGGUGUUACUUGUUUCAUGAAGACGGCUGGUUUACC